rnacentral:lncRNA from 1 species
CAGCAAGGCUGUUUCAUUGCUUUUCCCCUUUUCUCUCCUUUUCAGACCCGGAUUGUACCAGUAACCCUCAGUGAGAUCCUGUGCUGGGGCUUCACCACCCCCCAGGAACAGAAAAGGACAGGACGGGACCACAUCACCCUGCAGCCUUUGCGGAUAGACCGGCCACAAGCACAUCUCUGUGUUCUGGACCCAUCUUGGUUGUGAUCCCUACCCAGAAGAUCCCAUUUUUUCGGGUGGCAGGAACACACUUGCAGCUCCCUGAGCACCCUCAAACGGUUCU